AUGAGCUGUGGGCUCCAAUGCUGGGUGGUCCUUUGCCUCCUGGGGACAGGCUCCAUGGACACAGGGAUUACCCAGACACCAAAGUUCCUGGUCACAAGCAUGGGGAACAAGAGGUCUUUGAGGUGUGAACAGAGUCUGGGACACAAUGCCAUGUACUGGUAUAAACAGGUCCCGGAGAGGCCUCCAGAGCUCAUGUUUCUGUACAGCUACAAGGAGCUCUCUGCAAAUGAGACUGUCCCGAGUCGUUUCUCCCCAGAGAACCCCGAUAGCUCCCACCUGAACCUCCACAUGGACGCCCUGGAGCCUGGUGACUCGGCUGUGUACCUCUGUGCCAGCAGCAAAGACACAGCCCUGCAGAGCCACCUCCCACCCGUGCACAAAUCCACAUGGUCCCUCCUCUCCCCCAGCUCCCAGCAGCCCUUUCCUGCCCAGAAAAGGAAGUCAGGAGCAG